rnacentral:antisense_RNA from 1 species
CGGGGGCCCAGAGUGGAGAGCGCGAGGGCCUGGCCCAGGCACGGCCGGCGCCUCAGCCCUCGAGGAGGGCGUCACCUCAGCUCCCCCCGGCGGCGGAGCCGGUGGGCUCAGGCGGGCGCGGCUGAGGGGAGCGGACCGCGUGGGGCGGGAUGACUGCGCCCAAGGCCUUUGCGGGCCUCAGCCGGCCCCAGAGGAAGGGGGACCCGUCGAGCGGUUCGGUGCGUGUGAAGCGCGACAUGGCGGGGAAGCGGACAAGGCCGGGUGGCCUGGCGUCUACAGGGAAGGGGGCGGGACUAGACGCGGCCUUGACAACUAGUAGAGCGCCUCGGGCUGUGCGGCUCGAGACUACAUUUCCCAGGGGGCCCCGCGCGGAGCGGGCGGAAAAGAGAGCGUUUCGGGUCCAGUGCGCAGGUGCGAAAGCCAUCUUUGGUUAUAUAAGGGAGGUUCAGGAGGCCAUUCGUUCUUUCGCGUCCGCGGCGCUGUGAGUGUGGUGGUUCCGCAGGUUGCAGUCAGGCUUCGUACGCUAUUGUCCUUCCCGUUAGAGCAGCCAGCGGGUACAGAAUGGAUUUUGGAGGAGGGAGUCACCACUGGACCUCCAAGGAAGCCACGUGCAGACAUCUACAACCUUCGAUCUCUUGACGAAAACUGGCGAUGGUAUAUGAGAGGAGCCCUCUGGAAAGAAAAGGACAGACCCUGUGCUUUCAUGAAAGUGAAGAUCUGGCUGAACCAGUUCCACAAGGUUACUGUAUACAUAGCCUGAGUUUAAAAGGCUGUGCCCAUUUGAAGAAUGUCAUUGUUAGACUUUGGUGAAAUUUCUAACUGCCUACCUGGAUAAAGAAAAUAAAAUCUUUUAAAUCAAAA